UCCUCAGACUUCAGUAGUUGGUUUGCCAACUGCUGUAGCUAACUUGGAUAUUUAGUGUCAAGGAGGAGUAAGAGAAUUUCAAGUCCACUGAAUGGCUCUCCAUUCCAGGCUCUGCUGAAAAGAGUUAAAGAAAAUAGAAGAAGUUCUUUGAUAAGCUGGAGUUUUCAGUGAGGUGCUAACUAUGUCCUUCUGAACACACCAGCCCCAAACACUGGGCACCUUUUUCAAAAGACCAUCAUGGCUAUUUGUGAAGAUGGUGAGUUGCCUGAUCCAAUUCUGUGACUAUGGAACAACCUUUUGAAGACCAUUAAAUUCCAUAGUGGCCUGCACAAGAGACAACUGCAGAAGGGUGUCUGAGGCUCCAUCUGGAUAAGCCCACUUAGUUAGCUGUCCAUAAUUUUUUUCAUUCAUUUUGAGACUAGAAUCCCUGUAACCAAAUAUUACUUCUUUCUUCAUUUAUUGUUACAAUAUUAUUUUCUUUUUCAUUUGGAAAUAGGAUUUAUUAUUCAAUUUCUCCUGUUUUUCAUUAUGCUUCAAUGAAAAUAGUUUACAAUUUAAAAAGAAGACAAUAUUUUACUGAUUUAAUGUUUCAGCUAAUCUUAUUUGAGUAUCAGUGAGACAGCUCUGUUGGAAAUAUUUGCCUUGUGCAAGGCUCUAACCUCAUCUUGAUCACCACAUAAAGCUAGACAAAAGUAGACCCCACAAAGUUAUCUUCUUGUCUCCACAUAUCUAUCAUGGCCUAAAAAAACUGAUAGUCACAUUGCACAAACACACAGCAAAAUGUUUUUAAAUAAAUCUCAUUGUCAUUACAUUA